UCUUAAAUCCCAUUUCCCAGGUGAUGUUCUCAAACCCGUGUCGUUGACAGAUUCAGCCUGAUGGCUGUAAUGAUGUUGAACUGUUUGGUAAUGACUUUUUUCUCUGUGUGUUGUGCUUUCAGCUCACAGUGAUGUGACGACGAUAGAUGGGAGAGUGUGCGACUGUGUUAUAUUUCACCUUGACUAUCCCCAACUGGAGCAGCCUUUUCGAAUCAGCUGGCGCAAGGGAAGCACAUCUUCACAGUGUUGGACGCACGGCAACACUGGGCAUGACCAGUGCAUCCAUGUCUUUCCUAAUGGCAUGCUGGGGUUCCAUUGGUCGGUAAAGAGGAUGUGGGACUGUACAUGGCCAUGGUGUGCAACAGCCCGCAGCAUCAUCUCUGCCAAAGAAAAUUUCAGCUACGUGUGCGUGGAGUGGAAGCAUUUAAAGAAAUCAUGGAACUUACUGGUGGAUCCAUUUUCUUGAAUCUGAGACAAAGCCAAAACACAUCUUCCAGGUAGUCUGAAAAAGAGAAAACACAGAAAUUGCUUGGACAAAUGGUUCUUGGUUUUGAUACCGUGAGGAAUGCGUUAACAGGACUGAGAUUGUGGCUAAUUACAGUCUCAGACUAGACAGGAUUCAAGAAUGUGUCCAUGGCAGAUAUUCUAGAGAAUAUGGGAGAAGCGUAUAGAAUAGAUGGGAGAACUGUAUAUGAAUGCAUUGCUAAUGUGAAAGUUGCUGAGUAUCACUUAGAAGUGCUGGCUCUCAGUUAAGCAAGGCUUUUUUUUUUUCUUGCAUCCAGAUUCAGUAUACAAGCCCAGAUGGAUUAUAUGAGAGACCACCCCAAAUGCACUAGCAAUUAGCUAAUUAACAGAUGGAUGAAACAAAGACUAGCUAGGGUAAGCCUUGUUGGGUGAAGCUGGGUGUUCUUUUGCCAGCAUGACUGCUCCAGCAAAAGACCUAUACUGGCAGAAAGGGUAAUUUUGUUUCUAGUCUGUUGCUCCAAUGUAUUUUGAAAAUGCUAUGAGCUAUGAUAGAAAAAUGACUUUAGCCAGUAAAUGUCAUAUCAGUUCUGGCUGGUUUAGAUGUAUCAGGAGAACCUUCUGGUGAAUUUGAGUUUAUGACUGUCCUCCAAGUUGGCAAAAAAUCCACCCUUACAUCUGCAAGCAUUACUGUGGUGGGGAAACUGGGAAACUUUUAAUUAAAUACUGCCUAUGAUUCUAGUUUUGUUCUAAAUUUUGCAGUGUAAAAGGUUUAAGUAGUGUUGUUACAUCAAUACAACUUUUUGGUUUGGGCCAAUAUUAGCCUUUUUGCUGGCUGAGGGACCCAUUUGAGAGAGAAAAACAAUUAUUGUAAAAUGAAAAACAAA